rnacentral:lncRNA from 11 species
CAAACCGCAGAAACAAAACGCCGAAAAGGAGGGGGAAGGAGGGGGGAAUAUCCACUUCGCUGCAGAAAAUGUGGGGCAGCGGGGAGAGAGGCUCCAAUCCAGGGUUGGGAAAAAGGCUUCUCUCGGAAGACAGGUGGGAGGUUUCUCUCUUUCUCUGGCAAUUCCCCCUUUAAUAUAGACGUGCUCGCUCUCCUUUCACUGGAGUUCCCUUUCUCUCCCUACCAGGCGGAAACAGGAGGAUUUGGUGUGUGUGCGUGUGUGUGUGGCAGAGACCCCCAACUCUUCCGCCCUUCUUCCUCCUCCUCCUCCUGCUGCUGCUGCUGCUACUCGGCGCCGGCGUGGGCCCUGCCUUGGCUCCGGCUCCGCGGCCCCUCUCUCCCCGACCUGCCCGCGCGGAGUAAAUCCAUUCAAUUAGGGCACCAGGACGGAGCUGGAGGCUCUAUAAUCUCAAAUUUAUGGCCGGAUGACGUGCCUCCCUCUCCCACAAUGGAGACCAGUGACAUUAAACAGAAAAUUGAUGAGAGAGAGGCGAAAUCUAAUCUCUUUUACCCACUUCUUCUGCUGCUGCUGCUGCCGAGCCAUGGCUGUUGCUGCUGCUGCUUUGUGCUCCCCCCCUUUCUUUCCAAGAGAGAGAAAGAGAAGGUGGGGAGGGGAGGGCGAGGAAAGGGCUCUCUCUUUCUCUCUCUGGUCUUUGGCUACGGUGGGUGUGUUGGACUGAGCCUCGCGAGGCGAAUCCGAAGCAUUUACUCCUGGUCCUCUUUUUGCAUUCCUGGAGCAGCUCAGCUUCCUCAAGAACUACGGGUUCAGAGCUCGGUGUGUUAAGUUUCCAAAAAUCCAGAUGUGACACAUACGGGUUGAAGGCAAAACCAGAGGCUUUAUUCUCAGUGACCAAUGAGGAUGUCAGCACAGAGCGCACUCCAAAAAACUGACAUACCGCAAUUGCCAUACAUAGGUAUAUUUAUUGUAUUUUGACAGCUAUUCAAGAGGACCACACUAGAAAUGGGAUUUAGAAACUUGGUGGGCUUAUAUCAGAAUAUAUAAUUAAUGACUUUAUCAAUCAAAGGAAAAACAAAUAUACAAUUAGCCAAAAAAACCCAAGACUGGUUCAGGAAAUGGUUUGUGCUAAUUGACAAAAUAGAUGGAGACAACAGAUACAGCACCUUGAAACAGGCUUUCUACAUGGUUAAACUGAUGCAAUGACAAUAUUUAGAAUUGCUGUUCUAGGGGGGUGGGGGGAAUGAGGGGAGGGCAGGGGUAGUGGGUGAUACAUAUCUAUGGAACGUUUAAAAUGUCAUUUAAGGAAUAUUUACUUUUGGAAUAAUGUAUAAUGAAAUAAGUCCCAUGUGGCAAAAGUUUGUUAAAAGUCGGGAUGUAUCAAAUAAAAUUUAUAAAAAAAGAAGAAGACCACACUAGCUCCUGAUUGGUCCUGAAGUGUCUGGCUAGGAUCUACUCCAUGUUUGGUCUAGGGCUUCAUCCAGUGUCAUUGCUGAUCAGCUCCACAGUGGUGGGAAACUUGAAUAAAUUGUCAUUGAAUUAUUUAGAAAAGUGUGU